UGGGGAAUCGUUCAAUGGUAGGACAGCGGACUCUGACUCCGUCAAUCAAGGUUCGAAUCCUUGUUCCCCAGCCA
rnacentral:tRNA from 3 species